UCCCGCCGAAGUCCGGCGGCGCCGCCAAAGCUUCCCUCUAUUUUUGCCUCCAAUGAAGCCCUUCCCGGUCUCCGUUCGAUGCAAUUUUUAUACCACCGUGAUCACCGUUCUUUUCUCUAUAGGUUGACCGGAGUAAAACAUCAAAACGUGACUCACGCCGGAGAAGCCGCCGCACCCGAGAGCACGGCCACCGGUAAGUCUCGAUUUUUCAGAAUUUUUUAGCCCAACAAGGGCCCUAGGGUUGUUUUAUC
rnacentral:lncRNA from 1 species